UUUUUUUUAAGUUCUUUUCUGCUCUGUGCAUUAUUUCCACUUCCUUGGGGGUCAUUUUAUUUGUCACUGUCUUUCAGUUGGGUGGCUUUCCUCAAACGCAUGGUGUCCACGGACGUUUGGGCUGAUGAACUCAAGAACUUGCGGACUAAUGAUGCGUGCCUCGGGUUGACUGGGGAGUAAAGUCAGUCAGUCCAUGGCAGGGGGCAUCCUCUUCCCACUCCCACCCGAGAGCAGAACAUGAAGGUCUUUCUUCUGGGGGCCUUAGAUUGCUCCAGAAGCCCCGCGACUUCCCCCUGGAGAGCAGACCCUGACCUCGUGGUGCUUUGUGCCCAGGGUCGGGGAGACACUGUCCAGUGUAGAUUUUCAAUGAACAUUUUGCUGCUUCUGCCAAGACUGCCUGCCUCCUUUCUUGGCAGGUGUCUUCCUCGCAGCACACUCCGUCCUGAGGCUUUCUCUGCCCUGCUGCAUCAGAUACCGCUCCUCCAUCAGCUUUCUAUUGCCUUGAAAUUUGUUAUAAUAUCUUGUCUGCUGAGGUUGCCUCACCCAUUGUCUUUAUGUUAGAUUCCUUUGCAUUCCUUAAUAGUCAUUUUAGGAGUCUCUCAAGAAAAAGGGGAAUAAGCCACGCAGUGAAUUUAUCAUCCCCAGGGACAUGUCGGCCCAAGCCCUUCCUUCAUCCUGCUGAUUACAACGCUGGCCCAGUUGCGAGGCCCUCCACGUGUGUCUCCUGUGCUCGCUCUCUCCUCCCUGGGCCCAGGCACCUCUUCCUCUCCUUUCAAGGCUCUUUCCUCAGGAAAGGACCAUAGACUCCUUUACUCUGAGGGUGCCUGUCAGGUGAGAAUUUAUUGUUCAGACCUAACCAAUGAACAGUGAAUGGGGGAUCCAGUUCUAAGGCUUAGUUUAGGGAUGCUCUGUCUCAGGCAUCAGUGCUGUUCUUCCGUGAUCGCUGAAAUGACCCCGCGUUACUCACUGGUGACAGUAGCACAGAUGUGACUCUCCCAGAGGCUGAGACUGACCAGCUGUGGCUGGAGAGCGGCUGCGUGACUGCAUGACACCCCUUGCCCCCAGGCCUGGCUGCUGGGCCUGUGAUGGCCAAGGGCUGCUGUCGUCCCUGGGGAUGAGAAAUUCACGGCAUGUCUCAUCCCCCUUUCUCUGGGGACUAUAGAGCCAGGUUGCCCUGGAAGUGGCUCUGCUCCCCAGGCCUCCAUGGGCCACUGGUCUCCCUGAGUCCUGGGGAGCUCCACCAAGAGGGUCCCCUGCAGAAGGAGCUGAGCAACCAGCCUGGCUUGCUCUGCACGGAGGGGCUCCCCAGAUGUCAGAUUUUCAGUGCAAAGACUGGAACAUCCUGGGCAAACUGGGACACACUGGUCACCAUACCUGCAGAGAACUCCCCGUCCCAACUCAGGCUGGUUUCCAUAGAGGGAGUUUUAGGGCCUCACCGACUUCUCUAGGCUGAUUGCCCGAGGGCCCAACGAGGCCCCUCUCGCCCGCUUCUCUUCCUCAUCACCGAGCUGUAAAGGAAGUCCAGCUCUCCUAAGGCGGCCUCUAUCACCGGGCCCUGCAGCUCUGAUUGUGCCCCUUGAGAUGGAAGCUGGGCACAUCCAGAGGCAGCUACAUUCCUCGAAAUGCUUUCCUGACACUUCCCCUCAGUGGCCUCAGCAGUGAUGCCAGGAACCCUACAGAACAAGUCGGGUUCCUCUUCCUCGUCUCAGUGGCAUGAUAAAAUAAGGACGAUAAAUAACAUGUACAGACCACUGACUGUGUGUCCGGGCUCAUGCUAAGCUCUUACUAUGCACCAUCUCACUUCAUUCUCAGAACGACCUUAGAGGCAGGUGUUUGCUAUUCCUGGUUUACGAAUGAGGAAACUGAAGCUCCCAGAAGCCACUUGCUCAGAGUCACCCAGCUAGUAGUAAUCGGAGAAGCUGAACUCAAACCAGGGGUACCUGAUGCCAAAGUCUAAGAAUUUGAAAUGGUCUUCAAAUGCCGAGUUUCAGUCCCACCUUUUCCAGGAAGUCUUCCCUGACCAUGUUUGUGUCCUGCUCCAGACUGUGACAGAAAACCGAACUCACCGUGGCUUAAGCCUUUAGAACAUCUUUUGUUGCUUAAGUCCAGAGACUGUGACGGCUCACGGGUAACACGACCAUAACCCUUUCCUUCUUAACGCAUCUCGUCCUCAGGGUGUGGCUGUGAUGGGCUACGUUUUCCAAAGGUGGAUGCAGCAGUGCCUCCCGGGCCACCUGGCUCUUCUGCAUUGGGAAUUGCCGUCCCCUUGUCAGGAGGUGGAGUCUAAUUCUCUUCUUCUGGAAUCUGGGUGGCCUUAGUCACUAGCUUAACCAAUAGAAAGCGGUGGAAAUGGAACCUCGAAGUUUCAAGUUCAGGUGGUAAGGCAGCAUCUGUCCGGGCCUCUUAAAAUGUGUCACGCUUGGAACUCUUGCCCUCGGAACCCAGCAGCCAUGCUGGGGGACACCCAAGCCACUUGAAGAGGCCAUGUGCAGGUGUCCUGGUCAAGAGCCCUGGCUGAGCUCUCACUGGACACCCCGCAUCACCCCCCAGCUGUGUGAGUGAGCUGCCAAGGACAUCUGGCCCAGCUGAGCCUCUGCAUGACUCCCAGUCUCCCUCAGGUUGCAACCACAUAAGGAACCUCAAGGGAGGACCGUCUGGGUGAGGCCAGUCAACCUGCCGAAUGGUGAAAGAUAAUAACAAACUUGUUUUAAGAUGCUGAAUUUUGUGGUGAUUUGCUACAUAGCCAAAGUUGAUUGGAACAGUUGGCUUUCUCUCCUAGCAUGUUGCCUCAAGUUACAAGGUGGCUGCCUCAGCGCCAAGCAUCAUUACAAAUAGCAGAAGUGAGAGACUGAAUAUGGAGCAAAGGCUUUCUCCUUGGGUAUAAGGGGAGGGAAUAUCUUACCUAGACAGCCCCAGCAGAAUCCCUCACAUUUUCACUGGUCAGAACUGGCUCAGACAGCCUCUGCUCACCCCGACACACACUGGGUACCGCCUCUUUAGUGGGAGGUAGGCAAAGGAAUAGGAGGCUGGAAAUGACCAUUGUGCGGGCAACCAACAGUAUCCACGCUACUGUUGAUGUGGUUUUUCUAGGAGAACGAAGACUUAGUGGGGAAAAUAACCCCAUGAUUGAAAAGGAGCCCUCACUGCUCCUUCCAGAAGUGAAGCUGCUUCCGUGGGAACAAGUUUAUUGAAAGCUCCCUCCUGAUGGGCCGGAGUCCUGCUCUAGGGGCAGAAUUUGCCUCCAUCGCUUGCUAGUGGUACAGUAUUGGUGGUUAGUUCCUUGUUCUCUGCCUCCAUUUCCUCACCUGGACGAGGAGAGGAUUCCUCCCAACUCCUCCACGCUCCCGGAAGCCAGGGCGGAAGGGAAGGGCUGGACACUUACCGUGGGGGGAGGCCACGCGCUGCCCAAGUCAAGCCCGGCAGAGCCCGCCUCCAGCCACAGAUGUCGGGAUUUGCCAAACAAACCCUAAUCGCUUAAUGAGAACUGAAAAUGGUGCCUGGUUCCUCCACUUAAUUGGCCCUUUGAAAACAACACACAGGAGAUUUCUGGUAAUCACCAUAAUCGCCUCAUAAAACCCAAGAAUUUGAGGACUGACACGCCUCAUUUCUGGGAGGAAUUAGAGGCCAAAAUCAAGGCAAGGAAUUCCUGGCCUGGCUUGGCCUUGGCUCCCGGGAAUCCGGGACUGGAAUCCGGGACUCGGCCCACGGAGCGCCUGCCACCCCAGACACCCUCCUGGCCAAACCAAAGAGCACUGCACAUGCUCUGGUGCAGUGGUCCCUUGCAAGCCUACACCCUGGGCCUCCUUGUCACUGGUACGGCCUGAGGAAGGUAGACCAAAUGCUAGAGGGCCUGCGUGCCUGCGGGUCAGAGGCAGGGCCCCAAGGAGGGGAGAGGACUCUUGCUGCACCCACUUGCAAUAUCUGGGCAAAAGGAGCGGGGGAGCACGGCUGUCCCCAGCCCAUGGAAAGCCACCGCUCUUAGGUUCUCCCGUGGCCACCCGUCCCUCUUGAACGGCACAUCUCCCAUCACAAGGUGUCUGACCUCUCAGGACAUUGACUAAGAUACCUUGAUAGCAAGAAGGUUCAUACUCAGCUCAGCAGAAAUCGCUUCCCUUUCACAGCCUCAUAACCGGACUCAGAAUCACUUGGAGGUCAAGGUUAGAGCAAUCCUCCCCAAUGGCCUCCCCUGCUCUCCCCUGGAUGGCAAUUCCUUUCUUCCUUCCCCCUCACUCUCUUCUACUCAUUCAUCCAAAAAUAUCUACUAAAGGAGUUCCUGUUGUGGCUCAGUAGGCUAAGAACCUGACUAGUGUCUAUGAGGACGUGGGUUCAAACCCUGGCCUUGCUCAGUGAGUUAAGGAUCUGUCAUACUUGCAGAUGUGGCUCAGAUCUGGCAUUUCUGUGGCUGUGGGGUAGGCCUCAGCUGCAGCUCCAAUUCAAACCCUAGCCUGGGAACUUCCAUAUGCCACAGAUGUGGCUCUAAAAAGAAAAAAAAGUAAUAAAUUUUAAAAAUUAAAAGAACUAAAAUAUCUACUAAAUCCCCAAAUCUCUAAUGUGCAUCAGUAAUUACUAGUUCUCAGAGUUCCCCAGUGGCUCAGUGGGUUAAGGAUCCAGUACUGUCACUGCUGUGGCUCUGGUUACUGCUGUGGUGCAGGUUCAGUCCUUGGCCCAGGAGAUUCUGCAUGUCUUGGGCACAGCCAAAAGAAAAAAGAAGAAAGAAACUAAUGGUGUUCCCCUCAUGGCUCAGCAGGCUAAGGACGCAAUGUCUCUGUGAGGAUGUGGGUUCCAUCCCUGGCCUUGCUCAGUGGUUGAGGAUCCGGCAUUGCCGUGUGGUGCUGUGUAGGUUGCAGACGCGGCUUGGAUGCGGUGUUUUGGUGGCUGUGACAUAGGCUGGCAGCUGCAGCUCUGAUUAGACUCCUGGCCUGGGAACGUCCAUAUGCCACGGGUGCAGCUGUAAAAAGAACAAAGAAACUAGCAAUGCUUACCAUAGUCGCCAGAGCAGUCCUUUAAAAACCUAAUCAGAUCCCUCUGCAAAUUGGAGGGCAGGCAAAGCCCUGGCAGCAUCCUGCAGGGUUCUCAUGCCCCGCCCUUUGCCUCCUCAGCUCCAGCCUCGCUGGCCUCCCCGCUCUUUCUGGAAAACACCAGGGACCCUUCCACCUCAGCACUUUGGCACUUGCUGUUCCCGCUGCCUAGAAGGCCCUUCCCUCACACAUCCAAAGGCCUCCCUCCCUCCUUCCAGGCCCUUCCGGACUUCUCUACAUAAAAUUGCACCCCCACGCCCUCAUUAUCCUCCCAAUUUUAUUUCUGUCUAUCGUGCUCAUUGCCUUCUGAGACCCAAUCCACUCUAAGAUUUUCUGUCUGUCUUAGCAGGUAAGCUCCAACAGGCAGGGAUUUUUGUCUUUUUUUUUUUUUUCCACCAUUGUAUUCAAACACCUGUCACAGCUGCUGUCACUUGGCAGGCGCUCAAUAAAUAUUUGCUGAGUGAAUAAACAAUGGGGAGAGAACGGUGAAAAAGACAAAGCCCCUGCCUGCGUGGGACCUCAGGUCUGGUGGCAGAGACAGGCGUCAGGCCGACUGAGUGGCUCUACGGCAGUAAAUGCUGGUGAAAUGUGGCAGGCAGAACAAAGGUGAGGGUUUGGGGCGUGAAGCUUUGGGAGGAAAAGGUGCUGGAGAAGCUCGGGGGGUGCCACCUCCGGACCCUCUAAAGAAAUGGGACUCCAUGACCAGAGGGUGCCCGUCCGCACACUGGGUUCAAGUCCGCGCUCUGCCCCUUCCCAUCCGCUCACCCUGGGGUGAGCCGCCUCGGGCCGGGGGCACCAGGCUCCCCGCCUGUGAGAUGGAGAAGGGAUCACGAGGCAUGCCAGGAGGAAGGGACGAAGUACUUGGCAGAGCUGGAGCCUGUAGGGCUCGGUGAGCACCCGCUGGUUUCCAUCCCCUGUCUUUGUCCAACUAUUUAUGUAUUAUGUAUUUGCCAUGCCCGUGACAUAUGGAAGUUCCUGGGCCAGGGAUUGAACCCGCACCACAGCAGUGACAGUGCCAGAUCCUUAACCCGCGGGGCCACCAGGGAACUCCUGUCCAACGUUCAAUAUCUAAUUUCUCCUCCAGCAGCUGCUCCACUCUCUCUCCUGACCCCUGAGGGGCCUUGGGAGCAGCAAGAGGAAGGAAAGCACUGAAUCCGCCUGAGCGUCGAGAGCAGGUUAACAGAGGUGACCAGGAUCUUUGGGGGCACCGUGUGACAGAGGGUUAGGCUGGCUUCUGCAGAGCCCCAGCCCCCCUUGGGCUCCAGGGCUGGUUCUUUGGCGAUUGAUUCCAUGUCCCAUCAGCCCCCAGGCUGGUACCUUCUGGCGCAUCAUAGGACCAUGUGACUAGAAUGAAGCUUGGGAACAAGUUGCUUGACGAAGCUAGUGACACAGCUAGUGCUGCCAACUGCCUGGCUCUGGGGGAACUCUCCUCCACCUGCAACCUAGAGACCGCUCCCAGCACGUGCCGGUGCACAUGCACACCCACAUGUGCACACACAAACAUGUGCACACACACACACACGUGCACACACACAUGCGUAUCCAUACACGGUUCCCAGUGCUGCAGCCCCCAUAGGAGGACCAAAUCCCUGCUCCCUCAAAUCUUACUCUCUCCCCUGACUGGAAGUGGAAGAGGGAGGUUGAUCACGAGGCAGCAAACACACCGCUUCUUCCCACGGUCAGUGUGGACUGUGGAUACACUUAGGUGUGUAGCGGACUUUCCCAGACUGUGGGCUGGCUCCAGUGAUGGGCAACGGAAGAGCCAUGAAUCAGAUCUGAGUCCAGACUCAGGGCUCACAUUCUAGUGGGGGCAACAGACACUUGCACAAUUAAUUAUAAACUACAUGGUAGAGCAUCUGCGUGGAAACCCGCAGAAAGAAAGCCCGGCUUUCACUUUGGAGGCUGGGGGUGACAGGAAAGGCUCUGGGUAAGGUGGUCUUUUUUUUUUUUUUUUUUUUUUUAAGGCGGCACCCAAAGCAUGUGGAGGUUCCCAGGCUAGG
rnacentral:lncRNA from 1 species